CCUACGGGUGGCAGCAGUGAGGAAUAUUGGUCAAUGGCCGGAAGGCUGAACCAGCCAAGUCGCGUGAGGGACGACUGCCCUAUAGGUUGUAAACCUCUUUUAUCAGGGAGGAAUAGAUGCUACGCGUAGCAUGACGCGUGUACCUGAAGAAAAAGCAUCGGCUAACUCCGUGCCAGCAGCCGCGGUAAUACGGAGGAUGCGAGCGUUAUCCGGAUUUAUUGGGUUUAAAGGGUGCGCAGGCGGAUGAUCAAGUCAGCGGUUAAAUUGAGGGGCUUAACCUCUUCGAGCCGUUGAUACUGUUUGUCUCGAGUGAGGAAGAAGUAUGCGGAAUGAG
rnacentral:rRNA from 1 species